rnacentral:rRNA from 1 species
AUUGAACGCUGGCGGCAGGCCUAACACAUGCAAGUCGAGCGGAUGAAGGGAGCUUGCUCCUGGAUUCAGCGGCGGACGGGUGAGUAAUGCCUAGGAAUCUGCCUGGUAGUGUGGGAUAACGUCCGGAAACGGGCGCUAAUACCGCAUACGUCCUGAGGGAGAAAGUGGGGGAUCUUCGGACCUCACGCUAUCAGAUGAGCCUAGGUCGGAUUAGCUAGUUGGUGGGGUAAAGGCCUACCAAGGCGACGAUCGGUAACUGGUCUGAGAGGAUGAUCAGUCACACUGGAACUGAGACACGGUCCCGACUCCUACGGGAGGCAGCAGUGGGGAAUAUUAGACAAUGGGCGAAAGCCUGAUCCAGCCAUGCCGCGUGUGUGAAGAAGGUCUUCGGAUUGUAAAGCACUUUAAGUUGGGAGGAAGGGCAGUAAGUUAAUACCUUGCUGUUUUGACGGUACCAACAGAAUAAGCACCGGCUAACUUCGUG